rnacentral:rRNA from 1 species
GGAUGCGAUCAUACCAGCACUAAUGCACCGGAUCCCAUCAGAACUCCGCAGUUAAGCGUGCUUGGGCGAGAGUAGUACUAGGAUGGGUGACCUCUCGGGAAGUCCUCGUGUUGCAUCCCUC